GACGAACGCUGGCGGCGUGCCUAAUACAUGCAAGUAGAACGCUGAAGGAGGAGCUUGCUCUUCUGGAUGAGUUGCGAACGGGUGAGUAACGCGUAGGUAACCUGCCUGGUAGCGGGGGAUAACUAUUGGAAACGAUAGCUAAUACCGCAUAACAGUAGAUGUUGCAUGACAUUUGCUUAAAAGGUGCAAUUGCACCACUACCGGAUGGACCUGCGUUGUAUUAGCUAGUUGGUGGGGUAACGGCUCACCAAGGCGACGAUACAUAGCCGACCUGAGAGGGUGAUCGGCCACACUGGGACUGAGACACGGCCCAGACUCCUACGGGAGGCAGCAGUAGGGAAUCUUCGGCAAUGGACGGAAGUCUGACCGAGCAACGCCGCGUGAGUGAAGAAGGUUUUCGGAUCGUAAAGCUCUGUUGUAAGAGAAGAACGAGUGUGAGAGUGGAAAGUUCACACUGUGACGGUAUCUUACCAGAAAGGGACGGCUAACUACGUG
rnacentral:rRNA from 1 species